rnacentral:rRNA from 1 species
AUUGAACGCUGGCGGCAUGCCUUACACAUGCAAGUCGAACGGUAACAGGUCUUCGGAUGCUGACGAGUGGCGAACGGGUGAGUAAUACAUCGGAACGUGCCCGAUCGUGGGGGAUAACGAAGCGAAAGCUUUGCUAAUACCGCAUACGAUCUACGGAUGAAAGCAGGGGACCGCAAGGCCUUGCGCGAACGGAGCGGCCGAUGGCAGAUUAGGUAGUUGGUGGGAUAAAAGCUUACCAAGCCGACGAUCUGUAGCUGGUCUGAGAGGACGACUAGCCACACUGGGACUGAGACACGGCCCAGACUCCUACGGGAGGCAGCAGUGGGGAAUUUUGGACAAUGGGCGAAAGCCUGAUCCAGUCAUGCCGCGUGCAGGAUGAAGGCCUUCGGGUUGUAAACUGCUUUUGUACGGAACGAAAAGACUCUGGUUAAUACCUGGGGUCCAUGACGGUACCGUAAGAAUAAGCACCGGCUAACUACGUG